AGCAACUCUUCCUCUGGACAGGUUUUGAUAAAUCUCCCCCCCAUGUUCAUCCCGGAACAAUCAGAUUUCUAGGCUGGCAAGGGCUAAGAAGCAGCGGUAGAUUCAUUCGCCUAGAAGUACACGAGUUGUCUCUUAGUCCGGCUGCAGAAUGAUCUUUUCGACACCAAUUAGCUCUGGAAGCUUCUGAGGAUGAAAGGUACGUAUAUAGAGUUAAGGCGACUCGACCAGAGAGGUGAUGACGUCCCCACAGCACAGACUCAGUGGUGUAAAGCAGACGCAGUGCAGCCUCAGGGAGCGUCAGUCAGCAGAGCCAGGUCAGGCUGGUGGUCCAGCAGUAUCAGGAAGCCAAUGGCAGCCAGAGUCAGUUCAGGGACAUUACAAGAUUCCAGCUGAAGUGGAAUACUCCGCAUAAACCUGUCCCAGAAGCCCAUUUACCUGGUGUCGGUGCUCCUGGAGAACAGUUGGCUCGCUGGUGUCUGACGCACAUCUGCAGCUGCUCCGCUCUCUCUCUGACAUGCAGACAUCGCAGAAAUGAACACCAGACCUCAAGUAAAUAACCUUACGGGACUGGGCUUUUAGUCGAGAUACUGAGAAGACUGACUACAGCAAAUAUGGGGUUGAAUGAUCAUUUAACUUUAACAGAUAAACAGAUGCUAUGUGUCUGCUCUGGAAAACCUAAAAAGAAGAAAUAGAUGAAUGUUCUUGUUUAUGGUUCAUAAAAAACUUCGGUCUCUUGAGAACUUUUUUUUUUAGAUAGCAAAAAUUUGAAAUUGUUUACAGUGGCUGUUAGGAUUUGGCAGGCUGGAUGUGGA